rnacentral:misc_RNA from 1 species
AAGUCGUAACAAGGUCUCCGUAGGUGAACCUGCGGAGGGAUCAUUAACACGUUUAUUUCACUAUAAACGUAUCUAUACCAAACAAAUAGAAACGAAAGUAGACAGUUGAAGGGAAACCGAACACUAGAUACUUAGUCAUCCUCCCUACCUAUACUCAACCAUAGGUAGGCUAUUUAAUCAUUAACCCCUUUCCAACUAAAUACAAAAUUUCCAUGUCUUAUAUGUGAGUUCAUUUACUGAACUUCAACAUUGAUAUUUUAAUGUUAAAAGCACAACUCUUAGCAACGGAUAUCUUGGUUCUC